rnacentral:rRNA from 1 species
AUUGAACGCUGGCGGCAGGCCUAACACAUGCAAGUCGAACGGUAACAGGAAGCUGCUUGCUGCUUCGCUGACGAGUGGCGGAUGGGUGAGUAAUGUCUGAGCAACUGCCUGAUGGAGGGGGAGAACUACUGGAAACGGUAGCUAAUACCGCAUAACGUCGCAAGACCAAAGAGAUUGACCUUAGGGCCUCUCGCCAUCGGAUUUGCCCAGAUGGGUUUAGCUAGUAGGUGGGGUAACGGCUCACCUAGGCGACGAUCCGUAGCUGGUCUGAGAGGAUGACCAGCCACACUGGAACUGAGACACGGUCCAGACUCCUACGGGAGGCAGCAGUGGGGAAUAUUGCACAAUGGGCGCAAGCCUGGUGCAGCCAUGCCGCGUGUAUGAAGAAGACCUUCGGGUUGUAAAGUACUUUCAGCGGGGAGGAAGGGAGUAAAGUUAAUACCUUUGCUCAUUGACGUUACCGGAAGAAGAAGCACCGGCUAACUCCGUG